rnacentral:lncRNA from 1 species
GAGAUGUAGGGCUGUACGGACUGGCAGGAGAUAAUCUUGGACUACUUGGUGAGUAGGCCAGCGACGGACUGUAUUUGGCAGACUGAGGAUUGUAGCUUGGGGAUGUAGGACUAUAGGUUGGUGAAGUUGGGCUAUAACUUGGUGAAGUUGGACUAUAACCAGGAGAAGUGGGGCUAUAGGCUGGUGAAGUGGGGCUGUACGAUGGAGAAGUAGGGCUGUAUGACGGUGAGGUAGGGCUGUACGAAGGUGAUGUUGGGCUGUAGGAAGGAGAGGUUGGGCUGUACGAUGGUGAGGUGGGGCUGUAUGCAGGUGAGGUGGGGCUAUAUGCAGGUGAGGUGGGGCUAUAUGCCGGUGAGGUGGGGCUAUAGCUUGGUGAAGUUGGACUGUAACUGGGAGAAGUGGGGCUGUAACUUGGAGAGGUCGGGCUGUAGCUUGGGGAUGUUGGGCUGUAACUUGGGGAGGUUGGGCUAUAGCUUGGUGAAGUAGGUGAGUACGAUGGACUGGUAGGAGAAUAGGCAGGACUGGUUGGACUAUAACCAGGAGAACUUGGACUAUAAGUUGGUGAGGUAGGGCUAUAUCCAGGCGAGGUGGGACUGUAUCCAGGCGAAGUUGGGCUGUAUCCAGGUGACGUGGGACUGUAUCCAGGAGAUGACGGACUGUAGCCUGGUGAUGAUGGGCUGUAUCCGGGUGAUGAAGUAGGAGAGAAGGCCAUUCCACCAACAUAAGGAGAAAACUGGGCAUCCGUGACCGGGGACAGACGGAGAUU